rnacentral:lncRNA from 1 species
CACAUAGAAUUUUUCUUUUUCUAUCAAAAUUGAUAGAUUCCAUCUAAGUAUAUCCUACUCCAAACAACGAAUUUGAACCUACUGAAACCAAUUUACAUAGUAAGAAUCCGAAUGGCUAAGGACCAAAGAAAUGUGCAGUCAAAGCCAAUAGCCUCGCUGCGAAUAGCCAAUGGCAUCAUAGGUUAAAGGGCCACUCAUACCACUACAGCAU